rnacentral:rRNA from 1 species
UACGAAGGGGGCGAGCGUUGUUCGGAAUUACUGGGCGUAAAGGGCGCGUAGGCGGCGACCCAAGUCAGAUGUGAAAGUCCUGGGCUUAACCUGGGGACUGCAUUUGAUACUGGGUUGCUUGAAUGCAGGAGAGGAUAGCGGAAUUCCCAGUGUAGAGGCGAAAUUCGUAGAUAUUGGGAAGAACACCGGUGGCGAAGGCGGCUAUCUGGACUGUGAUUGACGCUGAGGCGCGAAAGCGUGGGGAGCAAACAGG